GCAGCAAAGUGAGGCACUAUGUUCUGUUUUAUUGUAUGAGUUUUGGUGGAGGGUGUAGGCAAAGCAACAUAACAGUUUCUCACUCUCCCUCUCUCUCUCUUGCACAACAGAACCAAAAAAAAAAAAACAGAGCAAGGCUUCUCCGGCCAAACUCUCCCUCCUCAGGCCACCUCCAGACGUCGGACCACUCUCCUUGGCUUCGCCUCGGGCCGCUCUACCUACACAGCCUCAAGGUCCGGCAAACCAGCUCGACUCCUCGUGUUUCUGGCCACCAAUCCUCACCAAACUUAUCCUUCUACGUCGACUUGACCUCCUGAGGCUCCCAGUAACAACCUUGAUCGGCGGAGUUGUCUGUGGCGGCGGCUGCAAGUCAACCUCGACUUAGAUCGAACGAAACUUUCGAUCCGGAUAUCUCGAGCUGUAGAGCUUCGUUUUGAGUGAUUAUUGAACUGGGGAGAUCGCCUUGAGUUGCUGAACAAAUCUACAGAAGGGAUCAAAGCGAUUCGUGGAAGUUUUUACGUCGAACUCAAGCUCGCCGGAUUCUGGAAAAAAAUUCCGGCCACCUUGACUAUUCCAGGUGAUUGACGGAUUGAUUUGGCGAACGAUUGUGAAUCGUAUCUUGAGCUGUUAAGAAGACGCAGCGGGAUUUUAGAGACUAUUCAAACGGUGUAGCGGGUAAUCCUACAAGACAGAAGAAUCAGGAAGGUGAUCGAGCUGUGUAGAGUAGCUGCUUGUGAUACUCUGAAUUUCUAUUGUGAGGUUUGUUAUGCUCAUUUAGAGCUUUACAAUUUUACUUUGUAAGAGUGAGUUGUAAUAAUUAACUCGAGGUUUUCGAGAUUUGAAAUUUGAGUGGCAUGUGGUGUGGUUGUUCUGAGAAAAAAAUUCAGAACGUUUAUUUGUUGUAGUUGUUUAAUUCAUGUUUCGGAUUUGAAUUUGUUAUUCAA